GAUGAACGCUGGCGGCGUGCCUAAUACAUGCAAGUCGAGCGAACGGACGAGAAGCUUGCUUUUCUGAUGUUAGCGGCGGACGGGUGAGUAACACGUGGAUAACCUACCUAUAAGACUGGGAUAACUUCGGGAAACCGGAGCUAAUACCGGAUAAUAUUUUGAACCGCAUGGUUCAAAAGUGAAAGACGGUCUUGCUGUCACUUAUAGAUGGAUCCGCGCUGCAUUAGCUAGUUGGUGAGGUAACGGCUUACCAAGGCAACGAUGCAUAGCUGACCUGAGAGGGUGAUCGGCCACACUGGAACUGAGACACGGUCCAGACUCCUACGGGAGGCAGCAGUAGGGAAUCUUCCGCAAUGGGCGAAAGCCUGACGGAGCAACGCCGCGUGAGUGAUGAAGGUCUUCGGAUCGUAAAACUCUGUUAUUAGGGAAGAACAGAUGUGUAAGUAACUGUGCACAUCUUGACGGUACCUGAUCAGAAAGCCACGGCUAACUACGUG
rnacentral:rRNA from 1 species